UACGUAGGUGGCAAGCGUUGUCCGGAUUUAUUGGGCGUAAAGGGAGCGUAGGCGGACUUUUAAGUGAGAUGUGAAAUACCCGGGCUCAACUUGGGUGCUGCAUUUCAAACUGGAAGUCUAGAGUGCAGGAGAGGAGAAUGGAAUUCCUAGUGUAGCGGUGAAAUGCGUAGAGAUUAGGAAGAACACCAGUGGCGAAGGCGAUUCUCUGGACUGUAACUGACGCUGAGGCUCGAAAGCGUGGGGAGCAAACAGGAUUAGAUACCCCU
rnacentral:rRNA from 1 species